rnacentral:lncRNA from 10 species
AAAGAUCUGAACAACCAUGGCCAUCCCUCUGAAAGACCAGUACCUGUUUCUGCAACAUUUGGAGAGAAAAGCAGAACAGAAUAAAAAUUUUCUGCAGGAAAUCAGAUCCUUAGGAGAAUGGGAGGGAAGCUAUCGGUGCUAAGGGAAACCAAUUUCAUGGUGAUCUCCUUUCAUAUCCAGUAUACAGAGGACAGACAACUCAGAGCUUUCCUGGAUGCUAGGGUUCCACUCACUAUAUGAAGUUCUACAUGCGUCAAAGAGGGUUCUUUGAGUCCGCCCAGUGGACACGGUUAGCGUGCGGCUGAACAAGCUGAAUGCAAUGGAUCCACUUCAUCAGUCCUAUUGCCCUAAAUGUUAGUCUCCUUUUUCCAGUUUACUGGGGUUGUUCUAUAAUUUUAAUUUCAUUGAUUCUAGACACUGCUAUGAACAAGCUUCAAAUAACUAACUCAACAUUUAAGCCCACUCCUAAGCAUCCUAGCUAACACUCUAAUUCUUCAAUUCUGGAUGAACAUAUCCAUAUUAAGACAUUUAGCCUGAUCCCGCUUAUAUUUUAUUCUUCUUGGCUUUAUAUCCUCAGACUAUAUUCCUGUACAUGCUUUUUAGUCCUCUUUAAUGAUGCUGUUUAGCAAGAUGCUGAAUCUUUCAUGUAAUCACUUUCUCUUCCUGAAGGAAACUUCACUUUAGUUUUUCUCAACUAUGCCAGAAUCUAACCUUUGGAAUAUGCCUCAAGAAAAUAUGAGUGUACAUGUCUGAGAAAAAAGUUGUUGUUGAGAAUAGUUAUUCUCUUGAGAUAAGUUCUUUAGGUAUAGUCAAUAGAAGGUUUUUUUUUUUUUCUUUGGAAUGCCAGUUUCCUCAGCUACUGGGGGAGGAAUGGAUUCUACUAGCAACUAAGCAUUAAGGAAGUUUGAAUAUUUCAAUUCUCAGAGGCAUCUAAAUCUGUCCAAAUGGCCUCAUCACAUGUCUUACAUCACAUCACUCCUUACCAACUAGUGCCCUCAUGUUAGCACAAUAAUUCUCAAACUCCUUGUCUCAUGGUCUUUACCUUUUUAAAAGCUAUUGAUAACCUCAAAGAUCUUUUGUUACUGUAGAAUACAUAUUGCAUAUUUAAUAUUUCAAAUUGAAAUCAGAAAAUAUUGAUAUAUAAGAAUGCACCAACACACAUCUCAUUCGCUACUAGAACAAUGACUUUAUUUCAUCUAUGUAGCUUACUGUUUUUAUUUUAAAAAUAAUUUUGACCUCAGGGACCUUAUGAAAUAUCUUAGGAACCUCCAGUGGUCCCAAGAGCAUACCCUGAGAUGUGCUGCUUUAGCACAAGAGACGUGUUGGGGUUGCAUAUUUAGCUGGUAUUACAACAAUGCAGCCCACACAGUCAGGUUUGGGCACAGGAUCUUCAAACUUAUCUGUUCUGAGUCACGCAAAUUACAAAACUCUUGGACACCAGAGAGUUUGUCUGGCUUUCUACCUGUGCUUUGAAUUGAGAGGCCAAAGUCCUAACCUUGUAGUUUUCUUUUUGUAACAUUCCCAGUGUAAUGAGUAGUUGUUAUCCAACCCUUCUUUGCAAUCACCACCUUUGCCAUGGCAACUAAGGGCUGAACAUCUUCAUUUUGCACACCUUGCUGUUAGAAAGAAGCACUCCACUUCUUCAUAAAUUAAAUAGUUGUGAUGCCCACUGACUACUAUAAAUUAUCAGUGUUCCAUCUUUCCCAGGAAGAUGGUUAUUCAUAUGUCCAUUAAGUAUAUGAUCAACCCAGUACUAGAAUUCUUAUCACAGGGCUUGUAAGUUUCCUGGGGCCACUUCUGAUUCUGUUUUCAGCAGUAUCCUGGUUAGAAGAGAGAAGGAACACUUAAAGCUAUUCUACUGGAGAGCAUUCAGUUAAUGAACUAUUUUCGGAGGCAUGUGAAGGGUUAAGGAAAUCAUAAGCAGGCAGUGAGACUAGAAGCCAUCACUACUGCUAAGCCUGAAAUGUCAAGAGAAGAGUUAUAAGGAGUGAUGUGGUGUAAGACAUGUAAGAGCUGGAGCUGUGAAAGAGGCACCACAUGGCUAGACCUGUGGCUGAUGAGGAACUUUCAGAAUCACAACAAGAUAGGCAAAGGAAAGAGAAUACCUGCCCUGAAUCUCACAGUUCCCUUUCUCUGAUCUCCUUUUUUUGCCCACCAUCAUCCGAACCCAACUGGAAGACAGACAGGGCAGAGAAACCACACUGUUCAUCUGUAGAGAACAAGUAGCACAUAGUGAAGGAAGGAAGAAAAAGUUGACACAGCUUAAAUCUUCUAUUGAUUGAUCUGUGAAGACUAUAUCAUAUGAUAGAUUCAAAUAUUUACAUAGUAACAUAUUUUUUUAAAUUAAAGAUCCGUGGAAAAUAUAAAAAAAUCUUCAUAACUAUAAAUAUAAAAUAAGCAAGAUACUUUAAGUAUAAUUUUCAUUUUUCAAUAGUAUUUCUCUAGAUGGCAUAAAUAUAGAAAUAACUCAAUAUUAACAGGAAAAAUACCUUAAGAAGAAUUCAAUCUACUUUAAUAAAAUUUAGUGCCUUAUAGCAAACAUAGCAGAAAUAAUGCCUCCUGUGAUUGCCUGGCUUGUGGUAGAAAACAAAUGGUUCAGUAUGAUCUUUUUGUUGAUGGGAAUGAUAAAAGCGUUUAGAAUAAAAAUGUCAAAUACACAUUAAAGUCUGUAAGUGUUUCAAUACAUUUAAAU